GUUCAUUAGCGCCGACCUCAGAGCAGGUG
rnacentral:rRNA from 2 species